rnacentral:rRNA from 1 species
AAAGCGUGCGCAGGCGGCUUUGCAAGACAGAUGUGAAAUCCCCGGGCUCAACCUGGGAACUGCAUUUGUGACUGCAAGGCUAGAGUACGGUAGAGGGGGAUGGAAUUCCGCGUGUAGCAGUGAAAUGCGUAGAUAUGCGGAGGAACACCAAUGGCGAAGGCAAUCCCCUGGACCUGUACUGACGCUCAUGCACGAAAGCGUGGGGAGCAAACAGGAUUAGAUACCCCUGU